UUGUAAUAUUCUGGUUAUAUUACAAACUUAAAGCAAGUUGCUAAGCGCCUAUGUUAUUUUACCCUUAAAUCACCAUCCUGCAGAAACUACAUUGUUCUUUGUGGAGGAAUUUCUGUUUCAAAUCUGUGGCUCGAACAGGCUGCCUCUGAGGAAGCCUGAGGCUCAUAUAGUUCUCCACCAAUCACAGAGUUAUUGCAGCCUGACAGGCGAAACCCAGGGCAAAAAGAUAACAAAGCCGCGCCUGUUGCUUAUGAUUCUUGCUGCUGUAAAAGCUGCAACAUAAUAACCAUAGAGUGCCUGACCUUCCUCAGCAAAAUGACACCCUCCUGUGUGCUCCUGUUGGUGGUGAUCUCAAACAUCCCAGGCCCA